UACGAAGGGGGCUAGCGUUGUUCGGAAUUACUGGGCGUAAAGCGCGUGUAGGCGGGUCUUUAAGUCAGGGGUGAAAUGCCAAGGCUCAACCUUGGAAAUGCCUUUGAUACUGGAGAUCUUGAGUCCGGGAGAGGUGAGUGGAAUUGCGAGUGUAGAGGUGAAAUUCGUAGAUAUUCGGAAGAACCCCAGUGGCGAAGGCGACUGACUGGACAAGUAUUGACGCUGAGGUGCGAAAGCGUGGGGAGCAAACAGG
rnacentral:rRNA from 1 species